rnacentral:rRNA from 1 species
GUCUUACCAUGCAGUCGACGGUAACAGAGAGUAGCUUGCUACUCUGCUGACGAGUGGCGCACGGGUGAGUAAUAUAUAGAUAAUGUGCCUUUUAGUCCGGGAUAGCCAUUGGAAACGAUGAUUAAUACUGGAUACUCCUUCUAACUCUAAUGUUAGUCGGGAAAGUUUUUCGCUAAAAGAUCGGUCUAUAUCCCAUCAGUUAGUUGGUAAGGUAACGGCUUACCAAGGCAAUGACGGGUAGCGGGUUUGAGAGGAUGAUCCGCCACACUGGCACUGAGACACGGACCAGACUCCUACGGGAGGCAGCAGUGAGGAAUAUUGCACAAUGGGGGAAACCCUGAUGCAGCAACGCCGCGUGGAGGAUGACGCAUUUCGGUGUGUAAACUCCUUUUAUAUGUCAAGAAAAUGACGGUAGCAUAUGAAUAAGCACCGGCUAACUCCGUGCCAGCAGCCGCGGUAAUACGGAGGGUGCAAGCGUUAUUCGGAAUCACUGGGCGUAAAGGACGCGUAGGCGGGUUGGUAAGUCAGAUGUGAAAUCCUACAGCUUAACUGUAGAACUGCAUUUGAAACUACUAACCUAGAGUAUGGGAGGGGGAGAUGGAAUUAGUGGUGUAGGGGGUAAAAUCCGUAGAUAUCACUAGGAAUACCGAAAGCGAAGGCGAUCUCCUGGAACAUAACUGACGCUAAGGCGUGAAAGCG